rnacentral:rRNA from 1 species
GACAGAGGCCCCAAGCGUUAGGCGGAAUCACUGGGCUUAAAGCGUGUGUAGGCGGACGCCUAAGUGUCUUGUGAAAUCCCCCGGCUCACCCGGGGAACUGCUGGGCAUACUGGGCGUCUUGGGCCAACUAGGGGCAGCCGGAACAAGCGGUGGAGCGGUGAAAUGCGUAGAUAUCAGGAGGAACACCGGUGGCGAAGGCGGUUCUCUGGGCAUGUCCUGACGCUGAGGAGCGAAAGUGUGGGGAGCGAACAGG